rnacentral:rRNA from 1 species
UCGAGAGGCUUCGGCAAUGGGGGAAACCCUGACCGAGCGACGCCGCGUGCAGGAUGAAGGCCCUUGGGUUGUAAACUGCUUUUGUUGGGGAAGAAGUGCGAUCAGGUGAACAAUCUGGUCGUUUGACGGUACCCGACGAAUAAGCUCCGGCUAACUCCGUGCCAGCAGCCGCGGUAACACGGGGGGAGCAAGCGUUGUUCGGAAUCACUGGGCGUAAAGGGCGUGUAGGCGGUCAGGUAAGUGGGAUGUGAAAGCCCUCGGCUCACCCGAGGAGCGUCAUCCCAAACUGCCUGGCUUGAGUAUGGGAGAGGACGGGGGAAUUCCUGGUGUAGCGGUGAAAUGCGUAGAUAUCAGGAGGAACACCGGUGGCGAAGGCGCCUGUCUGGCCCAAUACUGACGCUGAGGCGCGAAAGCUAGGGGAGCAAACGG